rnacentral:rRNA from 1 species
UACGUAGGGUGCGAGCGUUAAUCGGAAUCACUGGGCGUAAAGGGAGCGUAGGCGGGUUUCUAAGUCAGGUGUUUAAUCCCGGGGCCCAACCCCGGACAGGCACUUGAAACUGGGAAUCUUGAAUAGUGGAGAGGUCAGUGGAAUUGGGGGUGUAGCGGUGGAAUGCGUAGAGAUCCCCAAGAACACCAGUUGCGAAGGCGGCUGACUGGACACAUAUUGACGCUGAGGCUCGAAAGCAUGGGGAGCAAACAGG